CAUUAAUAAACACACUAUUUUUAUUAGUUAAGCUUCUUAAUUUCUGUUGUCCUAGAUUUGUAAUCAAGUCCAUUAAUAAACACACUAUUUUUAACAUAAUCUGGCAAAGUACAUAUGUGUGAGCAGUGUGGAAUUUCAUCAUUAUAAAGCAUUUUAUCUAAGCGUUCCAAUUCAUAAAACAAUUUAAUAGCAUUAUCCCAUUUACCUUCAUCUAAAUAAGCAUUCAUCAAAC
rnacentral:lncRNA from 1 species